ACGACAACCCACCCAAAUGAUAAUUUUCUUUUCUUUGGGGCUACGUAAUUGGUCAGUUCUGUGAUUUUACAUGGGAAAGUCUACUUAACAAUAGUUUUACAGAACUAUUUACAGUAAUAAAACAUGUCCAUUACUAUUUUAGGGGCGAUAGGUUAUUACACAAUACCGGUAUGUACUUUUGUGUCUAGACAGCGGUAUUUAAUUGGUUUGUCUGGUUACCUAUCAAAAAUACACCUGCUAAUCAGGAAUCACAGGUAGAAGCCACUAACAAAAUAAACCAUUUAACUAAGAAAACACUCCGUGGAUCAUUUUAGUAUGUAGGUUAAUGCAUGGACAAAACGUGGUACAAUUAUUUUGACUUGGAAGUUAAGCCACUUUGACAAUGGUGGUUUAUUUUGUAUUGAAAAAUAAUAUAUACUUAUGGCUGGCUUACUGGGAUGUAUAUUAUUACAGAACAUUGCAUGCCUAUUUUAUCAUCCCGCAAAAACCAGGUACAAUUGUUUCUCAAGUUCUAAGACUCAUUUCUGACAUUAAACGUUAAGUAUUACGUAACCACCAGCUCGCCAAAGGGUGUAUUCACUGGAAUGGAACAAAAUGGCUGCACCCGUUAUGUAUAAUAGCCAUCACAUUUAACCGUUUUAUUAAUUAACUAUAAUAAUAUACUUGUUGAUAUUAAACAAUAAUGUGCAUUAUAUAUCGUUGAAUAUACAUACCAGUCCAAAGGCUUUGCGCGAAUAUUCUUUCAAAGACACACAUAUGUGCAUACAUACAAACACACACACACACACACACACACGAACUCCAAACACAUACACACAGUGUAUAUGUUUUGUAUAUGUCCAAAAUGUAUAAUUAGUUUUUAAUAUAGUAACAGUAGACAAUUGGUAUUUAAAUUGGCAGCUGUUUAAUUUUUUCUUAUAUUACUGAAAUACGACUGGUUCUGUUUGAUCUUGGGUACCAUUGACAAUUAUCACCAUAUGCACAAACCGUAGGCAUUGAAUUUAAUCUAGUGACUGGUAACCCAUGAAAAGGUUACAAUUCCUAGUAUUUUUAUUACAAAAGCCCUUCACAGACACACAAAUUAUCUUAUUCAGUCAUAUCACUGUUUUUACUUUUAAAUAUUGAUAAUUGUUGAAUAAAACAACUGAUCCAUG